rnacentral:rRNA from 1 species
GACGAACGCUGGCGGCGUGCCUAAUACAUGCAAGUCGAGCGGACCGAACAGGAGCUUGCUCUUGUUCGGUUAGCGGCGGACGGGUGAGUAACACGUGGGUAACCUGCCCGUAAGACCGGGAUAACUCCGGGAAACCGGAGCUAAUACCGGAUAACACCGAAGACCGCAUGGUCUUUGGUUGAAAGGCGGCUUCGGCUGCCACUUACGGAUGGGCCCGCGGCGCAUUAGCUAGUUGGUGAGGUAACGGCUCACCAAGGCGACGAUGCGUAGCCGGCCUGAGAGGGUGACCGGCCACACUGGGACUGAGACACGGCCCAGACUCCUACGGGAGGCAGCAGUAGGGAAUCUUCCGCAAUAGACGAAAGUCUGACGGAGCGACGCCGCGGGAGCGAAGAAGGUCUUCGGAUCGUAAAGCUCUGUUGUUAGGGAAGAAGAAGCGUCGUUCGAACAGGGCGGCGCGGUGACGGUACCUAACGAGAAAGCCCCGGCUAACUACGUG